AACGUCCUGUGCAGUGAGGACUGACUAUUUAAAAGUCUCAUCAGCUGCAGUGGAAUCUGAAUCUGGACCCAAAAGAAAGCACCAUGUCAUCACGGCCAAUCAGAAUCAUUGCUGCGGAUCAAACUACCAGCUUCAAAGGUGGGAGUUAUCAAGACCCCAGAAGAACCAGCACGACUCUGGACCUGGUCAGUGGUUGCUGUGAGCAAAUCUACAACACUGAUGUUGACUUUCCUUCAUCCAAACCCUGGAAGGGAGAACUAAGUGUGUCUAAGUCAAAGUUUCUUCAUCCGUCUGAAGUGUUCAGGAUGAUUUAGGCCCUGAAUAUCUGUAUAUACCUGAAUAUAUUCUGCGAUUCUUAUUUUUGACUGGCCAAAAUAAAUCUUAAACUAGCUCACACAGGAGAGCAAAUGAAACAUUUGCUCUCCUCUGGCAGUGCCUACAAAGACCAUCGAGACCACACGUGGAGAAAUGUAUCCACCGUUUACGAGUAUACUGAGGAUGUCCCUCCUCCUCCUCCUUCUCUACGGCUUUGUGUGUUCUCUGGACAUCCUUAGCUCUGCUUUCCAGCUGGCUGGGGAUGCUUUUAUCCAAAGCGACUUACAGUGCACAGUCCCCCGGAGCAACCUGGAGUUAAGUGCCUUGCUCAAGGACACAAUGGUGGUGGCUAUUGGGAUCGAACCAGCAACCUUCUGAUUACCAGUUAUGUGCUUUAGCCCACUACACCACCACCACUUAUCACACCAAGUUGACAGAAAGGAGUGUAAUUUCUCUUGUUUGUUUGCUUCUGUGUGUUUUGUUUUGAUAGGUAAAGUUGCUGGAGGCAUUUUUCAGUAUAAUGCCAUCUUGUCUAACCCAGCGGCAAGGCUCAUGGUGGGGAUACUUUUGACAGUUCUGGUCCAGAGCUCCAGUACAUCCACAUCCAUCAUAGUCAGCUUGGUUUCUUCUGGAUUCCUCCGUGAAUGUGACAGCGACUGCCGCCCAGAACUGCACCACAGAAGCGCAUUGUGUGAAAGACAUGCACCUGCCUGCUAUUGAUCGUCAAAGUCCUGAACUCUCUACUCAAAGGUCAAGUUGCAAAGGCCAUUGAAGGGGUCAUCAACACUAGUAGGUCACCCCAGGACUGGUGCAGGGAGAGCCGGUGGCUCUGUGGGAUGUUGAAAAAAAUUGUGUAAUCCAUACCAUUUUAAUUUAUUGUAAUCUGAUUACAAUAAAUU